GAGUAUAAACACCAGCAGGACCUACUCCGGGCUUUAAAACCUGCGAACACGGCGCUGCCUCCAAACUGCCUGGGGGGUGAUGUGCUGAAGUGGCAGAGGGGAGAGCAGCAUGAGGCUCCAGCUGGAGAAGCAGCUCCUCUUCCUCUCCCUCCUCUGCAUCCUCUCCAAGGUGUGUGCCCAGCUGUGCCGGAGACCAUGCUACUGCCCCUGGGUGCCACCCCGCUGCCCCCGCGGGUCCCCCCUGGUCCUGGAUGGCUGUGGCUGCUGCAAGAUCUGUGCCCGGCGCCUGGGGGAGCCCUGUGACUUCCUCCACGUCUGCGACCAGAGCCAGGGCCUCGUCUGUGACUACAGCACGGCACCUGCCGGGACAGCAGGCACCUGCAACUUCGAGGAUGACGAGGAGGGCUGUGAGGUGAACGGCCGGGUCUACCGAGACGGAGAAGUUUUCCAGCCCAGCUGCAAACUCCAGUGCCGCUGCCUGGACGGGGGGUUCACCUGCAUCCCACUGUGCCAGGAGGACGUGCGGCUGCCCACCCCGGACUGCCCCUACCCACGGCGCGUGGAGAUCCCCGGCAAGUGCUGCCCUGAGUGGAUCUGCGAAGCCCACGACCAGCACCUCCUCCGGGACGCCAGGGCAGCCCCCAGGCCAGUGUCCCCACUGCUGCCAUACCCCUGCCAGGAGUGGGGCACAGAGUGGAGCGCCUGCUCGGCCACCUGUGGCGUGGGCUUUGCCACCCGCGUGUCCAACCAGAACCGCUACUGCCGGCUGGAGACCCAGAGGCGGCUCUGCAUGCUCAGCCCCUGCCCCGCCCUGCCCGCGGCAUUCCCGGCGAGGGGAAGAGGAGGUCGUUUGUAGCUGUGCCCACCCUGGUUUCAUCCCGGAGCCAACGCCUCAUCCCGGCAAAGAGUCUGGCACAAACCUAUGGCAUUGUGGUUUUGGUGAAGAUGGAGAAACUAGAGAAGUCUCCAUCAGGAAACUAGAGAAGAACUGAUGGAGUUUGGCUGCAAAGGAGGCUGGAAAUAGAGAACAAGACCCCCCUCUCACUUGGCACCUGCCUCCUCUGUGCACCCCGCUGACCCAGGCAGGAUUGGUGGGCAGCAUUCCCGAGUUUCUUAGGCUGAAUGAAAUGGGAAAUGGGGAAACCCUGCCCCAAGCAUGAACCCACCCAAGAGGCCAGGAAUCGCUCCUCUCCUGGAUCACUGGAGCUCCUGCAGAGGUGAUGCUGCUCCUCCAGCACACCGUGCAGCUCUGCUCUGCAGGGACUGCAGGAGAGGCCAUCUCCAGCACCUGGAAGCCCGAAUCCCUGGAGGGAACCCUCAUGCCCUGGCCUCCCAGGGAAGGAGCAGAGCAAACACGAGCCUUCCCGCUCUCCUCCUGGCCUCCUGCUCUCCCAGGCGCUGGCGGUCUGGCAGGGCUGCGGCGAGCGGGGAGCUCAGACGGAGACACCGUCCCGCGGCACCAGACAUACCGCCCGCCAUCCAAGCACAUUCCCUGCGAGCCCAGGCCAAAGGAAAAGCAGGGGAAAAAAGGGAAAACAAAAUCGCCGAGAUGAGUGGGAGCCGCCUCCCGACGGGCUGGGGCUGCUCCAGCUGUGCAGGAGUCGGCGCAGGAGAGCUGCUCCAGCUGCGCUUUCCCUCAGCAGGAACCCUUGGGGCGAUGGAAAACGGAACCCAAAUGCCCUCUAACGGCACCAGCGUGCAGAGGGAACGCUCCACAGCAGGCAGAGAGGGGCAGCUGCAAGGAGCGGUGGCGUAGGUGACACGUCCAGGUGAAAUCCGGACCUCUUAGAUGGGUAUUUCUGGAACUAAAAA